CGAAUGAAUCAUCUUUUCCACGGAGGUAAAUCCUUGCCCGCUAGGCAAGAGGAUAGCAAGUUACAAAUUCUGUUUCGGUAGGACAUGUAUUUCUAUUACUAUGAAAUUCAUAAAUGAAGUAAUUAAUCGUGGGGUUACCAUUAUCCUGUUUGUAGUGACGAAUCUUGUAUGUGUUCGUAAGAAAAGAAAAGAAAUUUGUCAAAAGGUUUGCAAAAACUAUCC
rnacentral:lncRNA from 1 species